rnacentral:rRNA from 1 species
AGCGAACGCUGGCGGCAGGCCUAACACAUGCAAGUCGAGCGGCCCUUCGGGGCAGCGGCGGACAGGUGAGUAACGCGUGGGAACGUGCCCUUUGGUACGGAACAACUGAGGGAAACUUCAGCUAAUACCGUAUGUGCCCUACGGGGGAAAGAUUUAUCGCCAUUGGAGCGGCCCGCGUUAGAUUAGCUAGUUGGUAGGGUAAUGGCCUACCAAGGCGACGGUCUAUAGCUGGUCUGAGAGGAUGAUCAGCCACACUGGGACUGAGACACGGCCCAGACUCCUACGGGAGGCAGCAGUGGGGAAUCUUGCGCAAUGGGCGAAAGCCUGACGCAGCCAUGCCGCGUGAAUGAUGAAGGUCUUAGGAUUGUAAAAUUCUUUCACCGGGGACGAUAAUGACGGUACCCGGAGAAGAAGCCCCGGCUAACUUCGUGCCAGCCGCCGCGGUAAUAC